rnacentral:rRNA from 1 species
UACGGAGGGUGCAAGCGUUAAUCGGAAUUACUGGGCGUAAAGCGCACGCAGGCGGUCUGUCAAGUCGGAUGUGAAAUCCCCGGGCUUAACCUGGGAACUGCAUUCGAAACUGGCAGGCUGGAGUCUUGUAGAGGGGGGUAGAAUUCCAGGUGUAGCGGUGAAAUGCGUAGAGAUCUGGAGGAAUACCGGUGGCGAAGGCGGCCCCCUGGACAAAGACUGACGCUCAGGUGCGAAAGCGUGGGGAGCAAACAGG